AGACCUGUGGUGAGGGCGCGCCCCCGGUCGGGCAUGGGUUCGGGCGCCCUCGUUCCUGGGACUCCGCGUCUGUUGAGUUGUCCUCACCUGAGCGUCUUUCCCUGCAAUUAUCUGAGUCGGCCGCAUCUUCUCCCCGCCCUUCUCUGUAGGGUGAAGACAUGAAGGAGGUAAUUCCUAUUACAGUCCCUUCAGAAUUUUCCAAAAUGUUAAUGGAAAGACAGUCAGAUGACAAGAUUCCUCAUAAAGAGAAAGAAGACUAUUCAUAAAAUAUGCCAUAAACAAAAACAAGGAAAUAAGGCUGCAGAUGCAUUCUGUGAAACUUUGAACAUAAAUUUGAUUAUGCUUUUACCAUCAUGAUUAUGACCUUAAACUAAUCUUGUGUUUCACUCUGGAGAGCUUUACAAAGUGAUGCACUUGGAAAAUAUUUCAUCCAACUCUGGCAGUGUCUGUUGACCCGAUGAAACUUUCAAUACUGAGUUUGAGCCAUAUUUAUGCUGUGAAGAAAGACCAAACCCUAACUGCAUGGACUCAGGGUACAAAUGAAGCAGGGAAAUGAACUGAAGUUUAGAGAAGUUAAGCCAUGGUGGUUAAUCACACACACUUCGCACUUGAGUUGAAUUCAGGAACCAAAACUUUCUAGCGGUAGGACUUGGAUGAGGAAACCGAGGCACUGAGGCGACAGAGAGGUUCAGUCACUUGCUCAAGAUCACAUAGAUAGUUAUCUAAUUGGUUGGUGUACAGUUUUUCAUAGCAUUCUCCUGUAAUCCUUUCAUCUCUGCAAGAUUCCCAAGUGCUGGCCACUUGUCUUCCCACUCUUUUUGCUGUCACCAAACACCUUGGCUUGGAUGGAUGUCUUG